rnacentral:tmRNA from 1 species
GGGGGCGUUUAUGGAUUCGACGGGGAUUGGACGAGCGCGGGCCAGCGGGUAGCAGGGAGUCGUCUGCUUCAUCAACGCUAAAGCCAAUUAAAUGGCAACCAAAAACAAUCCUACGCUUUCGCAGCUUAAUAACCUGUGAGCGUGCUUCUACCUCGCAUCGCCCAUGUGCUAGGAUAGGGGCUCAACUUUAGUGGGAUACGCCGAUCGGUCUCCGCCUGGGGUCGACGGAAGAAGACAAUCAGGCUGACCUGAAUAGAAGCCGGUCAUAGGGCGUCCGUUCAGGUGACAUCAAAUCUGUGACUACACCCGUAGAAGCAAGCGUGGCGUGAUCUUCGGACAGGGGUUCAACUCCCCUCGCCUCCACCA